UAAACUGAGGCCGAAAGACAGGCGCUUAACUGUUAAUUAAGAUAGAGUGGGAUAAAUACCCACCAGUUUAG
ensembl:Mt_tRNA